rnacentral:rRNA from 1 species
UACGAAGGGGGCUAGCGUUGCUCGGAAUCACUGGGCGUAAAGGGUGCGUAGGCGGGUCUUUUAAGUCAGGGGUGAAAUCCUGGAGCUCAACUCCAGAACUGCCUUUGAUACUGGCGACCUUGAGUUCGGGAGAGGUGAGUGGAACUGCGAGUGUAGAGGUGAAAUUCGUAGAUAUUCGCAAGAACACCAGUGGCGAAGGCGGCUCACUGGCCCGAUACUGACGCUGAGGUGCGAAAGCGUGGGGAGCAAACAGGG